AUGGGGAGGGUGUUUAGUCGCAGUUCCGGUGAUUUGGUGACCCGGAUUCAGCGGCGACAACACCACUUGUGUUGGUGCGCGGGUGCCAGAGAGGGGCAGUAUGUAGUGGAAUGCCAUCGCGUGAUGGAUGGAGUGUGGUCACGGGAGCGGUUGCAAAAGCGGUGGCUGGCUGGAGCGUUGGAGGAUGUUAGUGAGGAUGAUGGAUCGCUGUAG